rnacentral:rRNA from 1 species
GAUGAACGCUGGCGGCGUGCUUAACACAUGCAAGUAGAACGAUGAAGCCCAGCUUGCUGGGUGGAUUAGUGGCGAACGGGUGAGUAACACGUGAGUAACCUGCCCUUAACUCUGGGAUAAGCCUGGGAAACUGGGUCUAAUACCGGAUAGGAGCGUCCACCGCAUGGUGGGUGUUGGAAAGAUUUAUCGGUUUUGGAUGGACUCGCGGCCUAUCAGCUUGUUGGUGAGGUAAUGGCUCACCAAGGCGACGACGGGUAGCCGGCCUGAGAGGGUGACCGGCCACACUGGGACUGAGACACGGCCCAGACUCCUACGGGAGGCAGCAGUGGGGAAUAUUGCACAAUGGGCGCAAGCCUGAUGCAGCGACGCCGCGUGAGGGAUGACGGCCUUCGGGUUGUAAACCUCUUUCAGUAGGGAAGAAGCGAAAGUGACGGUACCUGCAGAAGAAGCACCGGCUAACUACGUG